GAUGAACGCUGGCGGCGUGCUUAACACAUGCAAGUCGAACGGAAAGGCUCCUGCUUGCAGGGGUACUCGAGUGGCGAACGGGUGAGUAACACGUGGGUGAUCUGCCCUGCACUUCGGGAUAAGCCUGGGAAACUGGGUCUAAUACCGGAUAGGACGAUGGUUUGGAUGCCAUUGUGGAAAGUUUUUUCGGUGUGGGAUGAGCUCGCGGCCUAUCAGCUUGUUGGUGGGGUAAUGGCCUACCAAGGCGUCGACGGGUAGCCGGCCUGAGAGGGUGUACGGCCACAUUGGGACUGAGAUACGGCCCAGACUCCUACGGGAGGCAGCAGUGGGGAAUAUUGCACAAUGGGCGCAAGCCUGAUGCAGCGACGCCGCGUGGGGGAUGACGGCCUUCGGGUUGUAAACUCCCUUCGCUAGGGACGAAGCGUUAUGUGACGGUACCUGGAGAAGAAGCACCGGCUAACUACGUGCCAGCAGCCGCGGUAAUACGUAGGGUGCGAGCGUUGUCCGGAAUUACUGGGCGUAAAGAGCUCGUAGGUGGUUUGUCGCGUCGUUUGUGUAAGCCCGCAGCUUAACUGCGGGACUGCAGGCGAUACGGGCAUAACUUGAGUGCUGUAGGGGAGACUGGAAUUCCUGGUGUAGCGGUGGAAUGCGCAGAUAUCAGGAGGAACACCGAUGGCGAAAGCAGGUCUCUGGGCAGUAACUGACGCUGAGGAGCGAAAGCAUGGGUAGCGAACAGGAUUAGAUACCCUGGUAGUCCAUGCCGUAAACGGUGGGCGCUAGGUGUGAGUCCCUUCCACGGGGUUCGUGCCGUAGCUAACGCAUUAAGCGCCCCGCCUGGGGAGUACGGCCGCAAGGCUAAAACUCAAAGGAAUUGACGGGGGCCCGCACAAGCGGCGGAGCAUGUGGAUUAAUUCGAUGCAACGCGAAGAACCUUACCUGGGCUUGACAUACACCAGACCGGGCCAGAGAUGGUCUUUCCCUUUGUGGUUGGUGUACAGGUGGUGCAUGGUUGUCGUCAGCUCGUGUCGUGAGAUGUUGGGUUAAGUCCCGCAACGAGCGCAACCCUUGUCUUAUGUUGCCAGCACGUUAUGGUGGGGACUCGUGAGAGACUGCCGGGGUUAACUCGGAGGAAGGUGGGGAUGACGUCAAAUCAUCAUGCCCCUUAUGUCCAGGGCUUCACACAUGCUACAAUGGUCGGUACAACGCGUCUGCGAGCCUGUGAGGGUGAGCUAAUCGCUGUAAAGCCGGUCGUAGUUCGGAUUGGGGUCUGCAACUCGACCCCAUGAAGUCGGAGUCGCUAGUAAUCGCAGAUCAGCAACGCUGCGGUGAAAAAGUUCCCGGGCCU
rnacentral:rRNA from 1 species